rnacentral:rRNA from 1 species
UACGAAGGGGGCUAGCGUUGCUCGGAUUUACUGGGCGUAAAGGGCGCGUAGGCGGAUCAGCAAGUUGGGGGUGAAAGCCCGGGGCUCAACCUCGGAACUGCCCUCAAAACUGUUGAUCUAGAGUUUGGGAGAGGUGUGUGGAACUCCGAGUGUAGAGGUGAAAUUCGUAGAUAUUCGGAAGAACACCAGUGGCGAAGGCGACACACUGGCCCAAUACUGACGCUGAGGCGCGAAAGCGUGGGGAG